GUGUCAGCAGCCGCGGUAAUACAGAGAGUGCGAACGUUGUUCGGAAUUACUGGGCUUAAAGCGCACGUAGGCGGCAUCGCAAGUGUCCGGUGAAAUCCCACGGCUCACCCGUGGAACUGCCUGGCAGACUGCGAUGCUAGAGUGUGGUAGGGGAGAGCGGAACUCCUGGUGGAGCGGUGAAAUGCGUAGAUAUCAGGAGGAACACCGGUGGCGAAGGCGGCUCUCUGGUCCACAACUGACGCUGAGGUGCGAAAGCUAGGGGAGCAAACGGGAUUAGAUACCCCGGUAGUCCUAGCUGUAAACGAUGGGCACUAGCUUGGGGUCUCCCUGUGUGAUCCCAGGUGAAGCAAAAGUGAUAAGUGCCCCGCCUGGGGAGUAUGGUCGCAAGGCUGAA
rnacentral:rRNA from 1 species